GGAAGGAUCAUUACUGAAUUGUCAACAUGGGUUGUUGCUGGUCCUCAAAGGGGGCACGUGCACGCUCUGUUCACACAUCCACUCACACCUGUGCACCCACUGUAGUUCUGUGGCCUGGGGGACCUGUCCCCCUUGCUGUGGUUCUAUGUCUUUACACACACACCGUAACAAAGUCUUAUGGAAUGUAUACCGCGUCUAACGCAUUACAAUACAACUUUCAGCAACGGAUCUCUUGGCUCUCGCAUCGAUGAAGAACGCAGCCA
rnacentral:misc_RNA from 1 species